AAUUUAUAUAGUUUAAAAGAAAACAUUACAUUUUCAUUGUAAAAAUAAAUUUUAUUUUAUAAAU
rnacentral:tRNA from 1 species